GAUGGCCUCGCGUCUGAUUAGCUAGUUGGCGGGGUAACGGCCCACCAAGGCGACGAUCAGUAGCCGGUCUGAGAGGAUGAACGGCCACAUUGGGACUGAGACACGGCCCAGACUCCUACGGGAGGCAGCAGUAGGGAAUUUUCGGCAAUGGGGGAAACCCUGACCGAGCAACGCCGCGUGAGCGAAGAAGGCCUUCGGGUCGUAAAGCUCUGUUGUAAAGGAAGAACGUCGUACACAGGAAAUGGUGUGCGAGUGACGGUACUUUACCAGAAAGCCACGGCUAACUACGUGCCAGCAGCCGCGGUAAUACGUAGGUGGCGAGCGUUAUCCGGAAUCAUUGGGCGUAAAGAGGGAGCAGGCGGCCGCAAGGGUCUGUGGUGAAAGACCGAAGCUAAACUUCGGUAAGCCAUGGAAACCGGGCGGCUAGAGUGCGGAAGAGGAUCGUGGAAUUCCAUGUGUAGCGGUGAAAUGCGUAGAUAUAUGGAAGAACACCGGUGGCGAAGGCGGCCGUCUGGUCUGUUACUGACACUGAAGCACGAAAGCGUGGGGAGCAAAUAGGAUUAGAUACCCUAGUAGUCCACGCCGUAAACGAUGAGAACUAGGUGUUGGGGGAAUAACUCAGUGCCGCAGUUAACGCAAUAAGUUCUCCGCCUGGGGAGUAUGCACGCAAGUGUGAAACUCAAAGGAAUUGACGGGGGCCCGCACAAGCGGUGGAGUAUGUGGUUUAAUUCGAAGCAACGCGAAGAACCUUACCAGGCCUUGACAUCCCUUGCAGAGGUAUAGAGAUAUAUCCGAGGUUACCAAGGAGACAGGUGGUGCAUGGUUGUCGUCAGCUCGUGUCGUGAGAUGUUGGGUUAAGUCCCGCAACGAGCGCAACCCUUGUGAUAUGUUACUAACAUUGAGUUGAGGACUCAUAUCAGACUGCCGGUGAUAAACCGGAGGAAGGUGGGGAUGACGUCAAAUCAUCAUGCCCCUUAUGGCCUGGGCUACACACGUACUACAAUGGCGUCUACAAAGAGCGGCAAGCCUGUGAAGGCAAGCGAAUCUCAUAAAGGACGUCUCAGUUCGGAUUGAAGUCUGCAACCCGACUUCAUGAAGCUGGAAUCGCUAGUAAUCGCGAAUCAGCAUGUCGCGGUGAAUACGUUCUCGGGCCUUGCACACACCGCCCGUCAA
rnacentral:rRNA from 1 species